AUAUUUGAAAGCUGAGCUGUUGUGAUCAGAUAAAUCAGAUAGCUGGGCAAGAGUGUUCAGUGUUAGGCAAUAUCCCAGAAAAAACACUUCAAUUCCUUUCGCUGUCCCUUUCAGCAGGGCUGUUCAUGUAGUCUGUGACUUCAGUUUUGGAUAAGGAGAAAAUUGUAACCAAACCCAGCAUGAGUUUGCAAAUGUGGCUCAUUGCAUGGCUGCCUGAAUGCUGGCAGGAGGAGUGAGCAAGGCAUCAACCUGUUUUUGGCAUCAACCCACAACUGUCUCAUUUGAAACAGCUGCUUUGCCUGCUCUCACCACCUUUUCUUUUCCACAUGAGUGAAACUCUGAAUUUCUUCAACAUGGGGAGGAGAAGGAGA
rnacentral:lncRNA from 1 species